rnacentral:rRNA from 1 species
UUAAGCGACUAAGCGUACACGGUGGAUGCCCUGGCAGUCAGAGGCGAUGAAGGACGUGCUAAUCUGCGAAAAGCGUCGGUAAGGUGAUAUGAACCGUUAUAACCGGCGAUGUCCGAAUGGGGAAACCCAGUGCAAUUCGUUGCACUAUCGUUAACUGAAUACAUAGGUUAACGAGGCGAACCGGGGGAACUGAAACAUCUAAGUACCCCGAGGAAAAGAAAUCAACCGAGAUUCCCCCAGUAGCGGCGAGCGAACGGGGAGCAGCCCAGAGUCUGAAUCAGCUUGUGUGUUAGUGGAACGGUCUGGAAAGUCCGACGGUACAGGGUGAUAGUCCCGUACACCAAAAUGCACAGGCUGUGAACUCGAAGAGUAGGGCGGGACACGUGGUAUCCUGUCUGAAUAUGGGGGGACCAUCCUCCAAGGCUAAAUACUCCUGACUGACCGAUAGUGAACCAGUACCGUGAGGGAAAGGCGAAAAGAACCCCGGCGAGGGGAGUGAAAAAGAACCUGAAACCGUGUACGUACAAGCAGUGGGAGCACCUUCGGGUGUGACUGCGUACCUUUUGUAUAAUGGGUCAGCGACUUAUAUUCUGUAGCAAGGUUAACCGUAUAGGGGAGCCGCAGGGAAACCGAGUCUUAACUGGGCGUUAAGUUGCAGGGUAUAGACCCGAAACCCGGUGAUCUAGCCAUGGGCAGGUUGAAGGUUGGGUAACACUAACUGGAGGACCGAACCGACUAAUGUUGAAAAAUUAGCGGAUGACUUGUGGCUGGGGGUGAAAGGCCAAUCAAACCGGGAGAUAGCUGGUUCUCCCCGAAAGCUAUUUAGGUAGCGCCUCGUGAAUUCAUCUUCGGGGGUAGAGCACUGUUUCGGCUAGGGGGUCAUCCCGACUUACCAACCCGAUGCAAACUACGAAUACCGAAGAAUGUUAUCACGGGAGACACACGGCGGGUGCUAACGUCCGUCGUGAAGAGGGAAACAACCCAGACCGCCAGCUAAGGUCCCAAAGUCAUGGUUAAGUGGGAAACGAUGUGGGAAGGCACAGACAGCCAGGAUGUUGGCUUAGAAGCAGCCAUCAUUUAAAGAAAGCGUAAUAGCUCACUGGUCGAGUCGGCCUGCGCGGAAGAUGUAACGGGGCUAAACCAUGCACCGAAGCUGCGGCAGCGACACUAUGUGUUGUUGGGUAGGGGAGCGUUCUGUAAGCCUGCGAAGGUGACCUGUGAGGGUUGCUGGAGGUAUCAGAAGUGCGAAUGCUGACAUAAGUAACGAUAAAGCGGGUGAAAAGCCCGCUCGCCGGAAGACCAAGGGUUCCUGUCCAACGUUAAUCGGGGCAGGGUGAGUCGACCCCUAAGGCGAGGCCGAAAGGCGUAGUCGAUGGGAAACAGGUUAAUAUUCCUGUACUUGGUGUUACUGCGAAGGGGGGACGGAGAAGGCUAUGUUAGCCGGGCGACGGUUGUCCCGGUUUAAGCAUGUAGGCUGGUUAUCCAGGCAAAUCCGGAUAAUCAAGGCUGAGGUGUGAUGACGAGGCACUACGGUGCUGAAGUAACAAAUGCCCUGCUUCCAGGAAAAGCCUCUAAGCAUCAGGUAACAUCAAAUCGUACCCCAAACCGACACAGGUGGUCAGGUAGAGAAUACCAAGGCGCUUGAGAGAACUCGGGUGAAGGAACUAGGCAAAAUGGUGCCGUAACUUCGGGAGAAGGCACGCUGGUGUGUAGGUGAAGCCCCUGCGGGUGGAGCUGAGACCAGUCGAAGAUACCAGCUGGCUGCAACUGUUUAUUAAAAACACAGCACUGUGCAAACACGAAAGUGGACGUAUACGGUGUGACGCCUGCCCGGUGCCGGAAGGUUAAUUGAUGGGGUUAUCCGUAAGGAGAAGCUCUUGAUCGAAGCCCCGGUAAACGGCGGCCGUAACUAUAACGGUCCUAAGGUAGCGAAAUUCCUUGUCGGGUAAGUUCCGACCUGCACGAAUGGCGUAAUGAUGGCCAGGCUGUCUCCACCCGAGACUCAGUGAAAUUGAACUCGCUGUGAAGAUGCAGUGUACCCGCGGCAAGACGGAAAGACCCCGUGAACCUUUACUAUAGCUUGACACUGAACAUUGAGCCUUGAUGUGUAGGAUAGGUGGGAGGCUUUGAAGCGUGGACGCCAGUCUGCGUGGAGCCAACCUUGAAAUACCACCCUUUAAUGUUUGAUGUUCUAACGUUGGCCCCUGACCGGGGUUGCGGACAGUGUCUGGUGGAUAGUUUGACUGGGGCGGUCUCCUCCCAAAGCGUAACGGAGGAGCACGAAGGUUAGCUAAUCCUGGUCGGACAUCAGGAGGUUAGUGCAAUGGCAUAAGCUAGCUUGACUGCGAGCGUGACGGCGCGAGCAGGUGCGAAAGCAGGUCAUAGUGAUCCGGUGGUUCUGAAUGGAAGGGCCAUCGCUCAACGGAUAAAAGGUACUCCGGGGAUAACAGGCUGAUACCGCCCAAGAGUUCAUAUCGACGGCGGUGUUUGGCACCUCGAUGUCGGCUCAUCACAUCCUGGGGCUGAAGUAGGUCCCAAGGGUAUGGCUGUUCGCCAUUUAAAGUGGUACGCGAGCUGGGUUUAGAACGUCGUGAGACAGUUCGGUCCCUAUCUGCCGUGGGCGCUGGAGAAUUGAGGGGGGCUGCUCCUAGUACGAGAGGACCGGAGUGGACGCAUCACUGGUGUUCGGGUUGUCAUGCCAAUGGCACUGCCCGGUAGCUAAAUGCGGAAGAGAUAAGUGCUGAAAGCAUCUAAGCACGAAACUUGCCCCGAGAUGAGUUCUCCCUGAGACUUUAAGUCUCCUGAAGGAACGUUGAAGACGACGACGUUGAUAGGCCGGGUGUGUAAGCGCAGCGAUGCGUUGAGCUAACCGGUACUAAUGAACCGUGAGGCUUAACCUU